rnacentral:rRNA from 1 species
GAGCAGCCCAGAGUCUGAAUCAGCUUGUGUGUUAGUGGAACGGUCUGGAAAGUCCGACGGUACAGGGUGAUAGUCCCGUACACCAAAAUGCACAGGUUGUGAACUCGAAGAGUAGGGCGGGACACGUGGUAUCCUGUCUGAAUAUGGGGGGACCAUCCUCCAAGGCUAAAUACUCCUGACUGACCGAUAGUGAACCAGUACCGUGAGGGAAAGGCGAAAAGAACCCCGGCGAGGGGAGUGAAAAAGAACCUGAAACCGUGUACGUACAAGCAGUGGGAGCACCUUCGGGUGUGACUGCGUACCUUUUGUAUAAUGGGUCAGCGACUUAUAUUCUGUAGCAAGGUUAACCGUAUAGGGGAGCCGCAGGGAAACCGAGUCUUAACUGGGCGUUAAGUUGCAGGGUAUAGACCCGAAACCCGGUGAUCUAGCCAUGGGCAGGUUGAAGGUUGGGUAACACUAACUGGAGGACCGAACCGACUAAUGUUGAAAAAUUAGCGGAUGACUUGUGGCUGGGGGUGAAAGGCCAAUCAAACCGGGAGAUAGCUGGUUCUCCCCGAAAGCUAUUUAGGUAGCGCCUCGUGAACUCAUCUUCGGGGGUAGAGCACUGUUUCGGCUAGGGGGUCAUCCCGACUUACCAACCCGAUGCAAACUACGAAUACCGAAGAAUGUUAUCACGGGAGACACACGGCGGGUGCUAACGUCCGUCGUGAAGAGGGAAACAACCCAGACCGCCAGCUAAGGUCCCAAAGUCAUGGUUAAGUGGGAAACGAUGUGGGAAGGCACAGACAGCCAGGAUGUUGGCUUAGAAGCAGCCAUCAUUUAAAGAAAGCGUAAUAGCUCACUGGUCGAGUCGGCCUGCGCGGAAGAUGUAACGGGGCUAAACCAUGCACCGAAGCUGCGGCAGCGACACUAUGUGUUGUUGGGUAGGGGAGCGUUCUGUAAGCCUGCGAAGGUGACCUGUGAGGGUUGCUGGAGGUAUCAGAAGUGCGAAUGCUGACAUAAGUAACGAUAAAGCGGGUGAAAAGCCCGCUCGCCGGAAGACCAAGGGUUCCUGUCCAACGUUAAUCGGGGCAGGGUGAGUCGACCCCUAAGGCGAGGCCGAAAGGCGUAGUCGAUGGGAAACAGGUUAAUAUUCCUGUACUUGGUGUUACUGCGAAGGGGGGACGGAGAAGGCUAUGUUAGCCGGGCGACGGUUGUCCCGGUUUAAGCAUGUAGGCUGGUUAUCCAGGCAAAUCCGGAUAAUCAAGGCUGAGGUGUGAUGACGAGGCACUACGGUGCUGAAGUAACAAAUGCCCUGCUUCCAGGAAAAGCCUCUAAGCAUCAGGUAACAUCAAAUCGUACCCCAAACCGACACAGGUGGUCAGGUAGAGAAUACCAAGGCGCUUGAGAGAACUCGGGUGAAGGAACUAGGCAAAAUGGUGCCGUAACUUCGGGAGAAGGCACGCUGGUGUGUAGGUGAAGCCCCUGCGGGUGGAGCUGAGACCAGUCGAAGAUACCAGCUGGCUGCAACUGUUUAUUAAAAACACAGCACUGUGCAAACACGAAAGUGGACGUAUACGGUGUGACGCCUGCCCGGUGCCGGAAGGUUAAUUGAUGGGGUUAUCCGUAAGGAGAAGCUCUUGAUCGAAGCCCCGGUAAACGGCGGCCGUAACUAUAACGGUCCUAAGGUAGCGAAAUUCCUUGUCGGGUAAGUUCCGACCUGCACGAAUGGCGUAAUGAUGGCCAGGCUGUCUCCACCCGAGACUCAGUGAAAUUGAACUCGCUGUGAAGAUGCAGUGUACCCGCGGCAAGACGGAAAGACCCCGUGAACCUUUACUAUAGCUUGACACUGAACAUUGAGCCUUGAUGUGUAGGAUAGGUGGGAGGCUUUGAAGCGUGGACGCCAGUCUGCGUGGAGCCAACCUUGAAAUACCACCCUUUAAUGUUUGAUGUUCUAACGUUGGCCCCUUAUCGGGGUUGCGGACAGUGUCUGGUGGGUAGUUUGACUGGGGCGGUCUCCUCCCAAAGCGUAACGGAGGAGCACGAAGGUUAGCUAAUCCUGGUCGGACAUCAGGAGGUUAGUGCAAUGGCAUAAGCUAGCUUGACUGCGAGCGUGACGGCGCGAGCAGGUGCGAAAGCAGGUCAUAGUGAUCCGGUGGUUCUGAAUGGAAGGGCCAUCGCUCAACGGAUAAAAGGUACUCCGGGGAUAACAGGCUGAUACCGCCCAAGAGUUCAUAUCGACGGCGGUGUUUGGCACCUCGAUGUCGGCUCAUCACAUCCUGGGGCUGAAGUAGGUCCCAAGGGUAUGGCUGUUCGCCAUUUAAAGUGGUACGCGAGCUGGGUUUAGAACGUCGUGAGACAGUUCGGUCCCUAUCUGCCGUGGGCGCUGGAGAAUUGAGGGGGGCUGCUCCUAGUACGAGAGGACCGGAGUGGACGCAUCACUGGUGUUCGGGUUGUCAUGCCAAUGGCACUGCCCGGUAGCUAAAUGCGGAAGAGAUAAGUGCUGAAAGCAUCUAAGCACGAAACUUGCCCCGAGAUGAGUUCUCCCUGAGACUUUAAGUCUCCUGAAGGAACGUU